CUGCCGCAGCAGGGGCAGGUGGGAGCCAGUUGGGGUCUCCAGGGAAGCUCGGUGUUGUUCCAGUUGCUUCCUUGGAGGUGGAGGGCGCUGCUCAAGGCAUCUUGUGUGUGCUCCUUGGCCCUUUAGAAAUAUGCUCACCAACCGUCCCGGUUUGCCCAGGACCGAGGGGCGCUCCUGGGAUGCAGGACUUUGGUCAGCGCUACAACUAGAAAACCCCAGAUGGUUAUUUGCCAUUAAAAUGUGCCCCAGAGGAGAAGCUAUGGGGAAGGAGUGACCGCCACCACCACCUCUGAGAGCUGAGAGGAGCCAGUCCCGUGUACAUGAUGGAGCUGGAUUAGAUCCAGGCUGCCUGCGGCAGGGGUUAAAGACAGAAGAUUUGGAGUAGAACAUAAGGCCCAAGGAGGAAAGUGCCUCUAAACACCUGUAAAUUUUCUUCUCUU